UCAAUAUAGCUUGGGAAAUCAUAGCCAACGAGGAAAUAAUCACCACGACCAAAUCCAGAAUUUCCUUCAAGAGAAUCCAAGAGGGGAGCAUAGUCAUAGGUGCCAAAAGCACCACUCCUUAUAAGCUGCUUGGCUUCUUCAAAACGUGGGUCUGGUUUGAACUGUUGGUAACGUAAGCAAGGUUAAUGAUAAUUCAUCCACUUGUGAGAAAUAUAUACCAGAUCAAUAAGCUAACAAUACCAACAAAUUCAAUUUAGCUAUUUGCAAGUCAAGCUCAUCUAAUAAUGGUUGUAUAUCACUUAUCUACUAGAAAAUAUCUUACCAAGCUUCGUUCAAAAGAAAGAAAGAAAGAAAAUAUCUUACCAAGCCAUUCUCUCUAUCCUUCCUCAGCCCAGCAACUUGAUCUGCCUUGGCACCAAAAAGGAAGAAAUUUUCUUGUCCCACUUCCUCUCUUAUCUCAACAUUAGCUCCAUCAAGAGUACCAAUGAUAACACAACCAUUCAGAGAGAAUUUCAUAUUACUCGUUCCACUUGCUUCCAUGCCUGCGGUACUGAUGUGCUGUGACAGUUCACUCCCAGGAAUGAGCACCUCGGCCACAGAUACAUUGUAGUUGGGAAUGAACACCACCUGAGAGGAACAAGGAGGUCCACAUUUUAAUUCAAAAUUACAAUCAAAUAUUUGUGUAAGGAUUACAAAUCUAGAUUAUCUUAAUAUUACUCACUAUAUGAUAAUGACAUUAUUUUGAAUAGAUGGUGGACAUAUAAGACUCUGAUGGCCAAUUUGAGAAGUGACAUGUUUGUUUUGGAUGCGAUAGAAUGCAAAAGUUCCAUACCUUUAGGUAUUUAUUAACAUCAGGAUCAUUGUUCACCACAGCACCAACAUCAUUUACCAAUUUUACUAUUCUUUUGGCAUUGGUGUAAGUCGCGAAUGCUUUUCCC
rnacentral:lncRNA from 1 species